GGAUCUUUUAAGUGCAGGGGAAAAAACUGUUCUGGAAUUAUUCCGAUCGAAACGAUACACGCAACUGAUCACCACAGCAACGUCUAAAAAGAACACUCUACUGGAUCACAUUUACAUCUCUCAUCCGGAUUUGUGUCUUCAAUCGGGUGUGUUACAUAGUUAUCAUAGUUAUCACAAUCCUGUGUACUGUAUUUUGCGUAAAUGAUUAGUCUCGUUCUGUACUGUAGUUUUUAUGGUGGAUGGGUAUUGUUGUUUGUUGUGGUAAUUGUUGUCUGUUGUGGUAAUGGUGUGUUGCGUUGUUGCCAUACGGAACCCGAGGCCGCUGAAUGCUAUUAUCGACUACAGCUUUGGAGGCACUCGCCUUAGCCUUGGGGUUGGCGCGUAUGGUUGUGGUAAUUGUGUGUUGCGUUGUUGCCAUACGGAACCCGGGCCGCUGAUAGGCUGAUAGAACCUUGGGGUUGGCGCGUAUGGUUGUGUUGCGGUUAGAUUGUGGUGUCUAUGGUCAUAUAAAGGUGUUAUGGUCAUAUAAAGGUGUUAUGGCACUGAGCUACGUAGAGAGUACAACCGCAGGAAGGACAAUGGAGUAGUGUGGCAGCUCCAGGGAAGGACACUAGGAAGUUAAGGCAGGAGCAGCAGCAUACAGGACACAGUGAGGAUUAGUGUGGCAACUCCAGGGAGGACACAGACAGUGAGAGCAACAUCGGCAUUGCAGGAAGAUUUUGGAGACAGUGGCAGUCCUCUCCAACACUGGAUAUGAGUGUGCAAUAUACCAUCUAAAGCUAAGUGUUAAAAGAUCUCACUUCAGUCACUGUACUACUGCACAUGAUAACCACAUUUAAAGGAAUAUUUUAAUCUAAUUUUGAUUUUCAUGUUUUUCAGGAACCGACUAGUCGGAAUGUCUGAGAAGAUCAAGUGUGCUACAGCACUGAUGACGAGCUGGAUACCAGCUUAUGUGUUAAUUUCUUUCAAGGACGGGACCAGAUGUGUUUGGAGUAGAGGACAAUGCUGACGACUGAAUAAGCAAAGGAAGAAGCACAUUAAAGCACUGAGGUAAAGUUUGUCAAUACUACUGGUAAGGUCUAGUGUUUCAGUGCGUUUUAUCAUACAAUGUGUUUGCUCAGAGGCAUGUGCUUUGAUGUGAAAGCUUAGAUUUUAAAGUCUGUGAUGGUUCUCAGAAGUGAGAGAGCACAAAUGUCUCUUGCAAGACAUACAGUACAGUCCAAAAGUUUGGAACCACUA